rnacentral:rRNA from 1 species
UACGUAGGGGGCGAGCGUUGUCCGGAUUUAUUGGGCGUAAAGAGCUCGUAGGCGGUUUGGCAAGUCGGGUGUGAAAACUCCGGGCUCAACUCAGAGACGCCACUCGAUACUGCUAUGACUCGAGUCCGGUAGGGGAGUGCGGAAUUCCUGGUGUAGCGGUGAAAUGCGCAGAUAUCAGGAGGAACACCGGUGGCGAAGGCGGCACUCUGGGCCGGAACUGACGCUGAGGAGCGAAAGCGUGGGGAGCAAACAGG